UUAGAGUUUGAUCCUGGCUCAGAUUGAACGCUGGCGGCAGGCCUAACACAUGCAAGUCGAGCGGUAGCACAGAGAGCUUGCUCUCGGGUGACGAGCGGCGGACGGGUGAGUAAUGUCUGGGAAACUGCCUGAUGGAGGGGGAUAACUACUGGAAACGGUAGCUAAUACCGCAUAACGUCGCAAGACCAAAGUGGGGGACCUUCGGGCCUCAUGCCAUCAGAUGUGCCCAGAUGGGAUUAGCUGGUAGGUGGGGUAACGGCUCACCUAGGCGACGAUCCCUAGCUGGUCUGAGAGGAUGACCAGCCACACUGGAACUGAGACACGGUCCAGACUCCUACGGGAGGCAGCAGUGGGGAAUAUUGCACAAUGGGCGCAAGCCUGAUGCAGUCAUGCCGCGUGUGUGAAGAAGGCCUUCGGGUUGUAAAGCACUUUCAGCGGGGAGGAAGGCGGUGAGGUUAAUAACCUCAUCGAUUGACGUUACCCGCAGAAGAAGCACCGGCUAACUCCGUGCCAGCAGCCGCGGUAAUACGGAGGGUGCAAGCGUUAAUCGGAAUUACUGGGCGUAAAGCGCACGCAGGCGGUCUGUCAAGUCGGAUGUGAAAUCCCCGGGCUCAACCUGGGAACUGCAUUCGAAACUGGCAGGCUAGAGUCUUGUAGAGGGGGGUAGAAUUCCAGGUGUAGCGGUGAAAUGCGUAGAGAUCUGGAGGAAUACCGGUGGCGAAGGCGGCCCCCUGGACAAAGACUGACGCUCAGGUGCGAAAGCGUGGGGAGCAAACAGGAUUAGAUACCCUGGUAGUCCACGCUGUAAACGAUGUCGAUUUGGAGGUUGUGCCCUUGAGGCGUGGCUUCCGGAGCUAACGCGUUAAAUCGACCGCCUGGGGAGUACGGCCGCAAGGUUAAAACUCAAAUGAAUUGACGGGGGCCCGCACAAGCGGUGGAGCAUGUGGUUUAAUUCGAUGCAACGCGAAGAACCUUACCUGGUCUUGACAUCCACAGAACUUAGCAGAGAUGCUUUGGUGCCUUCGGGAACUGUGAGACAGGUGCUGCAUGGCUGUCGUCAGCUCGUGUUGUGAAAUGUUGGGUUAAGUCCCGCAACGAGCGCAACCCUUAUCCUUUGUUGCCAGCGGUUAGGCCGGGAACUCAAAGGAGACUGCCAGUGAUAAACUGGAGGAAGGUGGGGAUGACGUCAAGUCAUCAUGGCCCUUACGACCAGGGCUACACACGUGCUACAAUGGCAUAUACAAAGAGAAGCGACCUCGCGAGAGCAAGCGGACCUCAUAAAGUAUGUCGUAGUCCGGAUUGGAGUCUGCAACUCGACUCCAUGAAGUCGGAAUCGCUAGUAAUCGUAGAUCAGAAUGCUACGGUGAACACGUUCCCGGGCCUUGUACACACCGCCCGUCACACCAUGGGAGUGGGUUGCAAAAGAAGUAGGUAGCUUAACCUUCGGGAGGGCGCUUACCACUUUGUGAUUCAUGACUGGGGUGAAGUCGUAACAAGGUAACCG
rnacentral:rRNA from 1 species